AAAAAAAAAAGCCUAAGAACAACUAGCCCAACCCACAGUAUAGCCUAAACCCAUUAAACUAAACCUUAGCUUAGGAGAGUUAUGGGCUCUAAUCCAAGAAUCCAAAAAAGAUAGAGCAAACAAUGCUUCUUGUCAUGGAUGCCUUUCGCCAAGAUCUGAAAAACAUUGCUAGGGCCAUGCAUGUUUUAACUAGCAACAACUAAGCUCCAAAUAGCAACAUCAAGCACGUGAAAUCAUGAAAGCCAAGAAACACUGAGACUCAUUGGGAAAGGAUAGUGGAGGAAGAGAAAGAGUCUAAAUAGCUUUUCACUCUCUUUGUAGCCGAAGGUGUAUCCACUGUCCACGGACAAUCGGCUAUCACUUAACCCUCAGGAAUCCUUUUCCUUAAAAUAGCAACAAAAGCAUAAACCUAUAUCCAUAAAUCCAUUGAUAUGAAGGAGAAAAGGCAAAGCUUCUACAUAUUUCCCGGCCAAAAUGGUCACCAGCUUCAUGGAGCAUUAAUUGACACACCUCGAUAGUACGUUCCUUCCUCUACAUAGCUCACCAAACCAAAACCCACCAUUUAAAUCAUAAAAUACAUAAAAUUAACAGAUUACAAGUUAGAAUCUCUCCAAAUGCUCAAGUUUCCAAAGAGCCUACCCAAAACCUAUUUACAUCCCACUCAGCAGCGGGGAGAGCUAACCCGCAGGAAGAAAGGAGCUUCCCCUACCCAGAUGGGAUAAGGAAGGCCACCUAGAUUUCAAACAAGAAAAUGAGGUUCCUAAUCUGUAACACCCUAGGCAAAUCCCA
rnacentral:misc_RNA from 1 species